rnacentral:rRNA from 1 species
GAUGCUAAUACCGGAUAAUAACAGAUGAUGCCUAUCAACUGUUUAAAAGAUGGUUCUGCUAUCACUCUUGGAUGGACCUGCGGUGCAUUAGCUAGUUGGUAGGGUAACGGCCUACCAAGGCGAUGAUGCAUAGCCGAGUUGAGAGACUGAUCGGCCACAUUGGGACUGAGACACGGCCCAAACUCCUACGGGAGGCAGCAGGA